rnacentral:rRNA from 1 species
UACAGGGGGUGCAAACGUUGCUCGGAAUUAUUGGGCGUAAAGCGCGCGUAGGCGGCUACUUAAGUCGGAUGUGAAAGCCCUUGGCUCAACUGAGGAAGUGCACCCGAAACUGAGUGGCUAGAGUACGAAAGAGGGUCGCGGAAUUCCCGGUGUAGAGGUGAAAUUCGUAGAUAUCGGGAGGAACACCGGUGGCGAAGGCGGCGACCUGGGUCGAUACUGACGCUGAUGCGCGAAAGCGUGGGAGCAAACAGG